rnacentral:rRNA from 1 species
CGUGCUAAUACAUGCAAGUCGAGCGAGCUGAAUUCAAAGAUCCCUUCGGGGUGAUUUGUUGGAUGCUAGCGGCGGAUGGGUGAGUAACACGUGGGCAAUCUGCCCUAAAGACUGGGAUACCACUUGGAAACAGGUGCUAAUACCGGAUAACAACAUGAAUCGCAUGAUUCAAGUUUGAAAGGCGGCGCAAGCUGUCACUUUAGGAUGAGCCCGCGGCGCAUUAGCUAGUUGGUGGGGUAAAGGCCUACCAAGGCAAUGAUGCGUAGCCGAGUUGAGAGACUGAUCGGCCACAUUGGGACUGAGACACGGCCCAAACUCCUACGGGAGGCAGCAGUAGGGAAUCUUCCACAAUGGACGCAAGUCUGAUGGAGCAACGCCGCGUGAGUGAAGAAGGUCUUCGGAUCGUAAAGCUCUGUUGUUGGUGAAGAAGGAUAGAGGCAGUAACUGGUCUUUAUUUGACGGUAAUCAACCAGAAAGUCACGGCUAACUACGUGCCAGCAGCCGCGGUAAUACGUAGGCGGCAAGCGUUGUCCGGAUUUAUUGGGCGUAAAGCGAGCGCAGGCGGAAUGAUAAGUCUGAUGUGAAAGCCCACGGCUCAACCGUGGAACUGCAUCGGAAACUGUCAUUCUUGAGUGCAGAAGAGGAGAGUGGAACUCCAUGUGUAGCGGUGGAAUGCGUAGAUAUAUGGAAGAACACCAGUGGCGAAGGCGGCUCUCUGGUCUGCAACUGACGCUGAGGCUCGAAAGCAUGGGUAGCGAACAGGAUUAGAUACCCUGGUAGUCCAUGCCGUAAACGAUGAGCGCUAGGUGUUGGGACUUUCCGGUCCUCAGUGCCGCAGCAAACGCAUUAAGCGCUC